rnacentral:rRNA from 1 species
AGAUAAAUCUGUUAAAGAUUAGGUAGUUGGUAAAUUUAACAGCUUACCAAGCCUUUGAUCUUUAGUUGGUCUUUACGGGCGACCAACCACACUGGAACUGAAACAAGGUCCAGGCUUAAAUUAUUAAGCCAGCAGUGGGGAAUAUUGGACAAUGAACGAAAGUUUGAUCCAGCAAUACUAUCUGAAUGAUUGACGGCUUUUUGUUGUAAAAUUCAAUAAAAAAAUAAAAAUAUGAUAGUUUUUUAAAAGUCCUGUCUAAUACUCGUGCCAGCAGUCGCGGUAAUACGGGAAGGGCAAGCGUUAUUUAUCGUGAUUUGGCGUAAAGAGUUUGUAGACGGUAACACAAGUUUUUAGUUAAAUUUUUAAGCCUAACUUAAAAAUAGCUUAAAAUACUGUUUUACUAGAGUUUUGUACAGAAAAGUAUAAUUUUGUGUGAAAAGGUAAAAUUUGUAGAUACACAAAAGAAUACCUAUCAGUGAAAACAGCUUUUUAGUAAAAACUGACGUUGAGAAACGAAAGUAUAGGUAGCAAACAGGAUUUGAUACCCUGGUAGUCUAUACUGUAAAUUCUGAAUGCUAAAAUUUAAAAACUAUUAAAUUUUAAAGCUAGCGCGAUAAGCAUUCCGCCUGAGGAGUAUAAUUGCAAGAUUGGAACUCAAAGGAACUGACGGGAGCUUAUACUAGUGGUGGAGCGUAUGGUUUAAAACGAUAAUCCACGUAAAACCUUACCAAUUUUUGAAUAUAAAUUAGUUUUUAUUACAGGUGCUGCACGGCUGUCGUAAGUCCGUGUUUUAAAAUGUUUGGUUAAUUCCUUAAACGGACGAAACUCUUGUUUUUUAAUUAUAAUUAAAUACUAUGUUCUUUUAGAAUAAUUUUAUUUAAUUUUUAAAAAUACUAUUAAUUAUAAAUUUAAGGAAGGUAAGAAUAAAGACAAGUCAUUGUGACCCUUAUAAAUUGGGCUACACAUGCGCUACAAUGAAAAUUACAAAAAGUUACAAAGUUUAUCAUUUCGUUAAUCUUAAAAAUUUUCCCAGUUCAGAUUAUAAACUGAAACUCGUUUAUAUUAAGUUGGAAUCACUAGUAAUCGCGAAUCAGCAUGUCGCGGUGAAAAGUUAUUGGCUUUGUACAUACCGCCCGUCACAUGCAAAAAAUUAAUUUUACUUGAAGUUUUAUCUUUUUUAGUUAAUGCCAUUGAAAAGUUAGUAAUUUGGAUGAAGUCGUAACAAGGUAGCUUUACGGGAACGUGUAGCUGGA